GAAUAAUUUUCUCACCAUGUGAUUCAGUGUUAUUUAUAGCUCUGAACCACUUGAAGCCAUUUUGUAUGGCUUGAACUAUCGCCCACUACUUCCAUCAACUGAGAUAUCUACACUUUGGAAUUUCUCUUGAUACUGAUCCAAUCAACUUUUGUUUUCAAGAUCAUGGUGCUAAGAGCGUAUGUAGUAGUUCAAGUUGCCUCUUUUAAAAGAAUUAUUCUGGAUAGGGUCUAAUGUAGCCUCCCACUGGCUAUGAAGGCAUAAAAGAGAAAGGAUUUGUCUAUUGAAAUCUCAGUUCUUACAACAUUUUAUGAAAUUUACCUCAAGAUGGAACAUUUUCAAAGCUGAUUUUAAAAAGUGGGUUCUCAUCACUUGAAUUAUAAAACUUCAGAGACUCUGAGAGAAUUAUAGCCCUGAGUCCAGGAAGAUGAGCCCACAAAAACAGGUCAAAGCUGCAGGCAGAGGAGGCACUUAGGGUUGACUGAAGAAGAGAAGAAACAAACCUACAGCACUUGGCAUUUAUUGAAGGGAGACAGAGAAGCAGCAAGUGCUUUCUGAGGAAAGAACAGAUGGAAGGAAAAUUAAGCAAAGUUAAAAAACAUUGCUGUGGUCUGUUCCACAAAAACCAGCAGAGCUGUGGUUUCUCCAGAGUCAGAGAAUUGAAAGAAGCACAGAGACCAACAAGGAAGAGAAAGAGAAAACUCAGCAAUUUUAAAUCCACAGGAUUUAACAUUAGAUGCGAUGGAGUCUCUUCAUUUUACGCUGGAGGAAAUGGGGUCCUAAGUGCUGACAGUGAUUUUCUGGGGGUCACAGAGGUAGACUAUGUAAAGCAUCCAGAAGAAGUGGGAACAGCUCAGGGUAGCUAUGGAGGAGGGUAUGCUUUGGGAGCAGGGGAAGGGAAGACAGGAAAAAGGAUGUGUGUAAAAAGCUCACAGGAAGCACAUUGACAGCAGACUCUCGGCAAUGGCUGCUGCGAUCUCUUGUGCUAGUUAACUUGUGCUAGUUAUUAUUUUGAUAAACGUUGUUAGAAUACAGAGAAUUGUCUUUGAGGGAGAGAGAUGGGAGGUCAAUUGGGAAAUUCUUUCCUAAUCUAAGGCAGUAAUGAUGAGAGUGUGAGUGAGGUCAGGAGUCAUGGUGGGGUAGAGAAUGGGGGACAUAUUCAAUAAACACCUCAGAGAUAAAACA
rnacentral:lncRNA from 12 species